ACCAUUUAUGGAACCAUCGGUUGCGCAGUGUCUCCUCGUGGACACAAAUGGCACUGUCUGAUGGUUAUAUUUCCUACUGCAAAAAAUAUCCACCGCUUUGCACAGUUGUGGGUAUCGCCACCUUAGGCUUCUUGUAUAUUUAUAGCGCGGAAAAUACCUUAUUUUUAAAAACUUUUUUGAAAAUGGCCUCAAUCCCCAUAAAAAUCUGUGUUGAUUGUAUUACUUCCGGUAACACUCCACAAUAACAAUCCACCGAGUAUGGUUAUUUUCCAAGUAACAUUCUCACUUCCAUAUGAGCCAAAAUUGCAACCAUGAGGUUGGCAUAGGUCUGUGCAGCUGCGAAAAAAGUAUUGAUUCGUGUAUUUCCGUGCUUAAACCGCCAUCUGAACAAGAAGGUGAAAAGCUCUUCUAUUAAGUUCAACAGGCACGCGUAUUGUCAUAAUUGUCCUAACCUCUGACAAUUAUGACGUAGCCUUAUAGAAAACAAUAUUGACUAAUUUUGGUUCAAAGCGCGUCAAUAGUGAUAUCCUUGCUUGCUCUUUGUCUCUGCGCCUGCUUCCCCGUCCCCUCUCUGAUCUUCUCUCCCCUCUGCUAGAUUUGGGUGAGCUGUUGAGAAUUUCUUAUUUUUCUCAUCCACAAACAAGUAGUGUUUAAACUCCGCAGUUGAGGGAUCAAACAUUAAGAGUCGUGUGGUUGAGUUGCCACUAAUGCCUGGGGAAAUCCCGAGCCCACCUGCGUCAGCAUUGCGCCGGCAAAGUAUGGAGGUCAAAAAGGUUGUGGAGGAGUACUGUCCCAAGGAGAGAGAAGAGGGUAUGAAUGUGAUCACACGAAGAUCCAGUCUGUCCAGCAGCCGACGCACCACCGACCGCUGUCGAGGAAGAGACUAUCUGCACAGUACCGUGACCGAGGAGGAUGAGGAGGUAUACACGCCAAGAUCAGAGGGCAGAGACGACCCGGAAAACCACACUGCAUGGACACCUCACCGGUUUAUUACUUUAAACUCUCCUGCCAGGGAGGAGUCGACUUGGUCCCUGAACUGUGAAACAGUGGCGGAGAAGGAAACACAGGGAAACGCUCACAGGAUGUGCGUGGCUGAAAGACGAACGACUGGAAUGAAAGACGGCGCGUGGAGACUGUGGCCUUCCAGCCCACUGUGCAAUGGAUAUGAAGCAGCUUUCCUUAAAAGUUUGCCAGUGCAGGGGCUCGGCAGACAAUCAGAGCCCCCCCCUGUGUCCUCCCCUACGGAAAGCCUGAGGGACAAACUGUACAGGAAAACCAAGCAUGUGUUAGAUUACACAGUCACUGAUGCGAUAGGAAAGCCUCCCGUGAGGUGUGGCUCCAAUCAAAGCCAGUUUUUCAGACCGUGUCUUCCGGAGUGGCAUGCGUCCAAUGUACCCACAUCAAGGACAAUCAAUACAAAGGAACUUUUCCGGACCACAGACAUCAGAAAGACUAAAGAUGGUAGUCCGUGGAUGAGGCUUAGAGACCGUAUACCCAGCCGUGAAAGGAGCAACAGCACCUUGUCUUCUACUCCUUCAUUCACAAGCACUAAGGGGAACGCCUCAUCCUCCCCUUCUAAGGAAGCUGCAAUUAAUAUGCCAUCUGUCGUCAGGAAGACCUCGAACAUCAUCAUGGAGGCAUGUGUCUCAUUUUAGACAGCUCAUCACAAUCACAGACACCCAAAAGUAUUUGGAGUAACACUAUGAUACAGUGUAAGUUGUACAGCAGGUCUCUCCUUGUGUUAUUCAGGAGAGAAAGAGAUGCUACUACAAGGAUCUGUGCCAGCAGGUGGAGGAGAAAAGACAGGACCGGCAGAGAGAGAGAAAGAAAACUGCUUUGGCCAACCGUGAGCACAAUAAGACCAUGCAGUUGUGUAUCUGGGGGAAGCCAGGGAGUGGAGCCCCAAACUACCAGCUUAAGUCUGUGAGAAGGACCAGGUUCAGUUCCACAGGGAUCAUACCCCAGGAGCAGGUAGACUCCACAGCAGGUUUCAGCAGACGGUUUUAUCCAAAGCAACAUACAAAGACUGCAUAUAGAAAUCACAGCAGAAAACUGUACACUUGAUUAUCUUGUGUACUACACUGUAGUAUGUGACUUUGGAGAAAAGCAUCUGCAGGAAAAGAAAAAAGCAAGCUACUUUACACGAAGUAAAGUGUAUAUAAUGUAUGAAGUACCAUUUCCCCUGUAUGAUGGUCAACAGCUGAAACGUAACACUCAGGGCAGGCUAUGCUAACACCAGGGGAUGCUAUGGGAACACCAGGGGACGCCUCUAGUCCGUGAAAGCCUCGUUUGAGGUCCUGACAAGAGUGUGGAUCCUGGUCCUUGGAGGUGAAUGUAGAUCCUAUUUUCUCAUCUGGUCGUCUGAAUGCUCUCUUUGUUCCAUCCCCAGCUUCGCAGCACAGGCUUCUCUGGGACCCCCUUUCGUGUGGGUGUGAAGUGAACGCCAUCCUCCCCCGUCCCACUUCAGCCCAGACCAGAAGACCAGACUGCUGAUGUCAUUAAACUAUUGUUGUGCAGUGGGCCAAGUACCGUUCGUGUCUGACUUUUGCUCAAGUAGUGUUUUGGCUGGGGGUCAGAUGGGAGUUAGGGAAUUGGGCUACCAAUCAGAAGGUUGCUGGUUUGA